rnacentral:tRNA from 1 species
GCGGGCAUAGCUUAGCGGUAAAGCCCCUGCCUUCCAAGCAGGUGACACGGGUUCGAUCCCCGUUGCCCGCU